rnacentral:misc_RNA from 1 species
AUAGUUAAUGAUGAAAUCUAAAAGCCAGGGAACAAAAUAACACCUUCUAUACGCCUGUUCUAUGAACUAUCAUCUCAUGUAACAAUCUUCAUUCCACAAAAAUUGCACUAUAAUGCUGAACAAAGUACGAGCACAGUAGUAUUUCAUCAUGCUAAAUAGCAGCAGAGGCAAAUAAAGAUGACACGAGUAAAUCUAGACAUCUUUCCAGACAUUGAAAUCGGUAGCUGAGCUGUUAUAGUUUAUAACACUGUCUUGGCACCCAAUAAAAUAUGUACUAAGUAUGGGAUCUACAUUUGCCAAAAGGUGGGCAGUUCUGCUUGGACUAGCCGCAAUAGCGAUUUCAUCUGCAUCAACAAUUACUUCAGCAUAACCUUUAUCAACAAUCUGGUUGUUUUCCAACCUAAACAGUGUUUUGGCACCCCAAAUGACAAAUGUCUCAUUGCAAGUGUAGUGUCUGUGAUUUCCCCUCAAAGUGCCAGGUCGGAUUUCACCAACAUGUAAUGAGGCACAAGAUAAUGCUCCACCUCUAAUGCUAGAGUCCAGAGCAAGAGAGACAGGAUCGAAAAUCCAACCACGCUUUUCUUUGAUGAUGGGAGAAGGGAACAACCCAGAUUUGAAUCUGAUCAAAUUGGCCUUCUUAUCAUCAUCUUUGCUCCAUUUCCUCUCUUGGGUUCCUUGAAGAUUAGCAGAAGAGAAAUGGGAAGUAUGUUGAAGUCUGAGGGAAACCCAUGUCAGCAAGAGAAAGAUUAAAAGCAAGAAAGGGAAGGCAUGUGGCUUCUUCAAGAAAUGUUUUAUAGAUGACAAUCGUGAGAGGUUUUGGACCUGAAAUUGGUUCUCUGAGCUGUUUGAGUAUGAGUUCCUUCUAGGGUUUGCCAUUGGUCUCCCUCUGCUUCUGAUGUCUCCUAUUUCCAACCGUGAC